UAGGGAAUCUUCCGCAAUGGGCGAAAGCCUGACGGAGCAACGCCGCGUGAGUGAUGAAGGUCUUCGGAUCGUAAAACUCUGUUAUUAGGGAAGAACAAAUGUGUAAGUAACUAUGCACGUCUUGACGGUACCUAAUCAGAAAGCCACGGCUAACUACGUGCCAGCAGCCGCGGUAAUACGUAGGUGGCAAGCGUUAUCCGGAAUUAUUGGGCGUAAAUCGCGCGUAGGCGGUUUUUUAAGUCUGAUGUGAAAGCCCACGGCUCAACCGUGGAGGGUCAUUGGAAUCUGGAAAACUUGAGUGCAGAAGAGGAAAGUGGAAUUCCAUGUGUAGCGGUGAAAUGCGCAGAGAUAUGGAGGAAAACCAGUGGCGAAGGCGGCUUUCUGGUCGGUAACUGACGCUGAUGUGCGAAAGCGUGGGGAUCAAACAGG
rnacentral:rRNA from 1 species